GACGAACGCUGGCGGCGUGCUUAACACAUGCAAGUCGAACGGAAAGGCCCUGCUUUUGUGGGGUGCUCGAGUGGCGAACGGGUGAGUAACACGUGAGUAACCUGCCCUUGACUUUGGGAUAACUUCAGGAAACUGGGGCUAAUACCGGAUAGGAGCUCCUGCUGCAUGGUGGGGGUUGGAAAGUUUCGGCGGUUGGGGAUGGACUCGCGGCUUAUCAGCUUGUUGGUGGGGUAGUGGCUUACCAAGGCUUUGACGGGUAGCCGGCCUGAGAGGGUGACCGGCCACAUUGGGACUGGGAUACGGCCCAGACUCCUACGGGAGGCAGCAGUGGGAAUAUUGCACAAUGGGCGGAAGCCUGAUGCAGCAACGCCGCGUGCGGGAUGACGGCCUUCGGGUUGUAAACCGCUUUCGCCUGUGACGAAGCGUGAGUGACGGUAAUGGGUAAAGAAGCACCGGCUAACUACGUG
rnacentral:rRNA from 1 species